GGGGAUUUGAAGCACAGGUGGGCUUGGUAAGGACCCACCAGUGGGAACCUAGGGGGCUGGGUGGAGAGAUUGUGGAGUUCUGAGUCAGAGUCUCCAUGAGAUAAAACAAGUUGACCAAUGCCUGACCAGACCACUGGGGCAGAGAGUUGCUGGCACAAGCAUGGGAACGUGUCAGUUCUUUUUUAAUAUUUCCCACAACAAAUAUAUAUCCUGAUUACAGUUUCCCCUCCCUCUACCCCCCUCCCCGUUCCUCCCUGAAUUUCAGGGUUCAGACUACAAACUGCUUCUGUGUGACUAAGAGAAGAAGAAUCAGAGUAAAGAGAAACAUACUCUCUUAAUCUCCGAAGAUUAACGGCAGGAGGAGCUCUAGAAUUUCACAAAGGUGCUGUCAGGACACAUGAAAAUCUAGAGAAAAAGACCAGCUUGAAGAGACCAAAAAGAAGAAAGCCUGCCAAUCACAUCCUCCAGAGAUUCUGAGACACACACACCCCUGGUGUAGGGGGACACCAUCUGAAAGGUGACACCCAUUCUACGGAAUAUAAGUACCAGCUAAAGAGGACACACACUUGAAGAAAAAGGAGACAAUGAGGUCUUGUGAAUGCUCUAAUUUUUCAAAGCUUACUUUUAAUGAUGGUUCUUAAACGCUUUAACCUCCCUUCUAGUCCACCACCCACCAAAGGUAGUGAAAAGAAAGGUGAUUAGGAUAC
ensembl:processed_transcript Platr14 pluripotency associated transcript 14